rnacentral:ncRNA from 2 species
CGAAAACAAUGAAUAUUACCUCAUAUAAUCUUGGAAGUAUGGUCCAUAAGUUUCUACCUAGCAGCCAUAAAAUGCUAGACUAUGGGGAGAAAAUGCAGAAGG